rnacentral:tRNA from 1 species
GGUUGUGGCUCAACGGUAGAGCGCUCGCCUAGCACGAGCGAGGCCCUGGGUUCCAUCCUCAACACCA